GGCUGUAGGUCCAGAGGUAUAAGGUAAGACUGAACCAAACCUUCUGUUCUGGCUGUAGGUCCAGAGGUAAGACUGAACCAAACCUUCUGUUCUGGCUGUAGGUCCAGAGGUAAGACUGAACCAAACCUUCUGUUCUGGCUGUAGGUCCAGAGGUAAGACUGAACCAAACCUUCUGUUCUGGCUGUAGGUCCAGAGGUAUAAGGUAAGACUGAACCAAACCUUCUGUUCUGGCUGUAGGUCAAGGGGUAUAAGGUAAGACUGAACCAAACCUUCUGUUCUGGCUGUAGGUCCAGAGGUAUAAGACUGAACCAAACCUUCUGUUCUGGCUGUAGGUCCAGAGGUAUAAGGUAAGACUGAACCAAACCUUCUGUUCUGGCUGUAGGUCCAGAGGUAAGACUGAACCAAACCUUCUGUUCUGGCUGUAGGUCCAGAGGUAAGACUGAACCAAACCUUCUGUUCUGGCUGUAGGUCAAGGGGUAUAAGGUAAGACUGAACCAAACCUUCUGUUCUGGCUGUAGGUCCAGAGGUAUAAGACUGAACCAAACCUUCUGUUCUGGCUGUAGGUCCAGAGGUAUAAGGUAAGACUGAACCAAACCUUCUGUUCUGGCUGUAGGUCCAGAGGUAAGACUGAACCAAACCUUCUGUUCUGGCUGUAGGUCCAGAGGUAAGACUGAACCAAACCUUCUGUUCUGGCUGUAGGUCAAGGGGUAUAAGGUAAGACUGAACCAAACCUUCUGUUCUGGCUGUAGGUCCAGAGGUAUAAGACUGAACCAAACCUUCUGUUCUGGCUGUAGGUCCAGAGGUAUAAGGUAAGACUGAACCAAACC